rnacentral:rRNA from 1 species
CAAAAACAUAGUUAUGAGUAUGUUUUCAUAAUGAUUUCUGCUCCAUGAUUUAUUAAAUAGCCGCAGUACCCUGACUGUGCAAAGGUAGCGUAAUAAUUUGACUUAUAAUUGAAGUCUCGUAUGAAAGAAUACAUGGGGGGUAACUUUAUUAAAGAUAAAUAAUGAACUUAAUAAUUAAGUGCAAAUUCUUAUAGCAAAAAGAUAGACGAGAAGACCCUAGAAAUUUUUAUAAAAGUGCAAUAAGAUUUUUUUGUUGGGGCAACAGAGUAACAAAUAAUUUACUUUAUAGUACACGCAUAUACAUAUGUUAGAUUAAAUUACUCUAGGGAUAACAGCGUAAUUUUAAAAAGUUUGCGACCUCGAUGUUGGACUAGGGACCAAAUAUUAGAAGGUGCGAUUUAAGCUCUGUU